rnacentral:lncRNA from 1 species
GUGUAACUUUCAAAAUAUGUAGAAUAUUUAGGUAUUUUUUGUAUCAAAUGAAAGCUGAAGGACUGGUGAUCAUUGUAGAACACUUUUGGACUUUUAAUUUUGAAUAUUAAAAAACCUGCACCAAAUUUUAAAAAGAGGUUACAUUUUGUCUGUUUGUCAGAUCUGAAGUACCUGUUUGGGUACAUCCGAAGUUCUGGGAACCAGUUCUUUCUUAUAUGCAAUUAAAGGUAUGUUGAUUUUUUCAGUACAAGACACUAUGAAGUGUUGCUUUGCAAUGCAAUGAUUGCCACUUUAUUUGAACUUAAAACAAAAGAGUUGUGCCUGCUUGAAACGGAGGAACUUAAC